rnacentral:rRNA from 1 species
GAUGAACGCUGGCGGCGUGCCUAAUACAUGCAAGUCGAGCGAAAGGACGAUAAGCUCGCGUCCUUGAUGUUAGCGACGGACGGGUGAGUGACACAUGGAUAAGCAACCUAUAAGACGGGGGUAACUACGGGGAGCCAGAGACAAUAACACAGAAUAUUUUGAACCGCAUGGAUCAAAAGAGCAAGGCAGCUUUGCUGACACUUAUAGAUGGAUCCGCGCUGGAUUAGCUAGUUGGUAAGGGAAAGGCUUACCGAGGCAACGAUGCGUAGCGGAACUGAGAGGGUGAUCGGCCACAUUGGGACUGAGACACGGUCCAGACUCCUACGGGAGGCAGCAGUAGGGAAUAUUGGACAAGGGGCGAAAGCCUGAUGCAGCCAUGCCGCGUGGGUGAAGAAGGCCUUCGGAUCGUAAAACCCUUUUGUUAGGGAAGAAAGGCAGCGGGAGAAUACCCCGACGUUCUGACGGUACCCAAAGAAAAAGCACCGGCUAACUACGUG